UACGGAGGGUGCAAGCGUUAUCCGGAUUCACUGGGUUUAAAGGGUGCGUAGGAGGGUAGGUAAGUCAGUGGUGAAAUCUUCGAGCUUAACUCGGAAACUGCCGUUGAUACUAUCUAUCUUGAAUACCGUGGAGGUGAGCGGAAUAUGUCAUGUAGCGGUGAAAUGCUUAGAUAUGACAUAGAACACCAAUUGCGAAGGCAGCUCGCUACAUAGUUAUUGACACUGAGGCACGAAAGCGUGGGGAUCAAACAGG
rnacentral:rRNA from 1 species